GUGCUCGCUUCGGCAGCACAUACACUAAAACUGGAACAAUACAGAGAAGAUCAGCACGGCCCCUGUGCAAGGAUGGCACGCAAAUUCAUGAAGCAUUCCAUACUUUU
rnacentral:snRNA from 1 species